AUCCCAUUUGUGGACAUCUGAUAAAAUGUGAACAAUAUAUAGAAGAUUAGCAUGACCCCUGUGCAAGAAUCAACCGUAUAUCCUAACAGGAAUCGUAAAUUCAU
rfam:Medicago truncatula strain A17 chromosome 8, whole genome shotgun sequence.